rnacentral:rRNA from 1 species
CCUGAUGGAGGGGGAUAACUACUGGAAACGGUGGCUAAUACCGCAUAACGUCGCAAGACCAAAGAGGGGGACCUUCGGGCCUCUUGCCAUCAGAUGUGCCCAGAUGGGAUUAGCUUGUUGGUGAGGUAACGGCUCACCAAGGCGACGAUCCCUAGCUGGUCUGAGAGGAUGACCAGCCACACUGGAACUGAGACACGGUCCAGACUCCUACGGGAGGCAGCAGUGGGGAAUAUUGCACAAUGGGCGCAAGCCUGAUGCAGCCAUGCCGCGUGUAUGAAGAAGGCCUUCGGGUUGUAAAGUACUUUCAGCGGGGAGGAAGGUGUUGUGGUUAAUAACCGCAGCAAUUGACGUUACCCGCAGAAGAAGCACCGGCUAACUCCGUGCCAGCAGCCGCGGUAAUACGGAGGGUGCAAGCGUUAAUCGGAAUUACUGGGCGUAAAGCGCACGCAGGCGGUCUGUCAAGUCGGAUGUGAAAUCCCCGGGCUCAACCUGGGAACUGCAUUCGAAACUGGCAGGCUUGAGUCUUGUAGAGGGGGGUAGAAUUCCAGGUGUAGCGGUGAAAUGCGUAGAGAUCUGGAGGAAUACCGGUGGCGAAGGCGGCCCCCUGGACAAAGACUGACGCUCAGGUGCGAAAGCGUGGGGAGCAAACAGGAUUAGAUACCCUGGUAGUCCACGCCGUAAACGAUGUCUACUUGGAGGUUGUGCCCUUGAGGCGUGGCUUCCGGAGCUAACGCGUUAAGUAGACCGCCUGGGGAGUACGGCCGCAAGGUUAAAACUCAAAUGAAUUGACGGGGGCCCGCACAAGCGGUGGAGCAUGUGGUUUAAUUCGAUGCAACGCGAAGAACCUUACCUGGUCUUGACAUCCACAGAACUUUCCAGAGAUGGAUUGGUGCCUUCGGGAACUGUGAGACAGGUGCUGCAUGGCUGUCGUCAGCUCGUGUUGUGAAAUGUUGGGUUAAGUCCCGCAACGAGCGCAACCCUUAUCCUUUGUUGCCAGCGGUCCGGCCGGGAACUCAAAGGAGACUGCCAGUGAUAAACUGGAGGAAGGUGGGGAUGACGUCAAGUCAUCAUGGCCCUUACGACCAGGGCUACACACGUGCUACAAUGGCGCAUACAAAGAGAAGCGACCUCGCGAGAGCAAGCGGACCUCAUAAAGUGCGUCGUAGUCCGGAUUGGAGUCUGCAACUCGACUCCAUGAAGUCGGAAUCGCUAGUAAUCGUGGAUCAGAAUGCCACGGUGAAUACGUUCCCGGGCCUUGUACACACCGCCCGUCACACCAUGGGAGUGGGUUGCAAAAGAAGUAGGUAGCUUAACCUUCGGGAGGGCGCUUACCACUUUGUGAUUCAUGACUGGGGUGAAGUCGUAACAAGGUAACCGUAGGGGAACCUGC